rnacentral:rRNA from 1 species
UACGAAGGGGGCUAGCGUUGCUCGGAAUCACUGGGCGUAAAGCGCACGUAGGCGGAUUGUUAAGUCAGGGGUGAAAUCCUGGAGCUCAACUCCAGAACUGCCUUUGAUACUGGGAAUCUCGAGUCCGGGAGAGGUGAGUGGAACUGCGAGUGUAGAGGUGAAAUUCGUAGAUAUUCGCAAGAACACCAGUGGCGAAGGCGGCUCACUGGCCCGGUACUGACGCUGAGACGCGAAAGCGUGGGGAGCAAACAGG